rnacentral:rRNA from 1 species
AUGGCCAGAGUCAUUGGCAGAUCAUCUAUGAUGAGAGAGUCAGAUGAAGAUGAGGAGAAGGAAGAGGCAGCAUCACCACCUCCAAAGUCUCAGAAGCUCAUGGGGGAUGUCGUAAAGUCUAGGGCUGCUCCAUCUAAUCCCAAUACAACCCCCAAGCCUCCAACUCAAGCUCCAAAACCUUAUGCACCCAAGGUCAAAAAACAAUGGUACCCGCCGCGAGCCUCAACACUUAUCGGAUUGCAUACAUCAGUAUGUAUUAUUUCCAAUAAGUCAGUUGCUCGCUCCAUUGUUCCGGAGAACAGAGUUUUAGUCAUCUUGCCCAUGAGGCAUGGUUCGCAAGCAUCAAGUGAUUCAUACUCAAGUGAUUCCAAAAGUCCAUCAGCAUGGAGUUUCUUCAUGCGCUUUACACCAAUAUGA